ACGACCUUACUUGAACAGGAUCUGUUCUAUAGGCUCGUACCUCUGUGUCCUUGAGUUCUAAGGAGACAGGAUAUCAAGUCUGGUGGAUGAACUAUGACCGUCUGAUCAGAGCGUGAUUAACAGCCUCUUUGGUUCUCCGAUCACUGGGGCAGUAGAGGAUCGUUCUCAGCUAGAUAGACUCUGGCUGGGGUGGUCAAACGGUUAUCUGACAGACU